rnacentral:rRNA from 1 species
UGGGGAAUUUUGCGCAAUGGGCGAAAGCCUGGGCAGCAACGCCGCGUGGGUGAUGAAGGUCUUCGGAUCGUAAAACCCUGUCGUCAGGGACGAAGGUUGUGGGUUGAAUAGGCCUGCACCUUGACGGUACCUGGAGAGGAAGCCCCGGCUAACUCUGUG